rnacentral:rRNA from 1 species
UUGGGUAACCGAAAUGAUAGUUAGUGGCGAACGGGUGAGGAAUGAAUAGGUAACGUACCCCGAGCUUCGGGAUAGCGUCUGACUGCUUCGGCAGUCUUCCGAAAGGGGCGGUAAUACCGAAUAAUGUCAUGUAUCAUAAGAUGUAUGACCAAAGAUUUAUCGGUUUGGGAGCGGCCUAUUUCCUAUCAGCUUGUUGGUGGGGUAACGGCCUACCAAGGCAGCGACGGGUAGCGGGACUGAGAGGUUGACCCGCCACAUCGGGACUGAGACACUGCCCGGACCUCCACGGAGGGCUGCAGUAACGGAUAUUGUGCAAUGGGCGAAAGCCUGACACAGCAACGCCGCGUGUAGGAUGAAGCCUUUCGGGGUGUAAACUACUGUCAGGGGGAAGAAAGUCCCGACUCGUCGGGAUUGAUCUACCCCACAGGAAGUCACGGCUAACUUCGUGCCAGCAGCCGCGGUAAGACGAAGGUGGCGAGCGUUGUUCGGAAUCACUGGGCUUAAAGAGCACGUAGGCGGAGUCGAAAGUGUGACGUGAAAUCCCCCGGCUCAACCGGGGAAUUGCGCUGCAAACUUCGACUCUUGAGGCAAGUAGGGGUGCAUGGAACUCUUGGUGGAGCGGUGGAAUGCGUAGAUAUCAAGAGGAACGCCGAAGGUGAAGACAGUGCACUGGGCUUGUCCUGACGCUGAGGCGCGAAAGCGUGGGGAGCGAACGGGAUUAGAUACCCCGG